rnacentral:rRNA from 1 species
AUUGAACGCUGGCGGAAUGCUUUACACAUGCAAGUCGAACGGCAGCACGGACUUCGGUCUGGUGGCGAGUGGCGAACGGGUGAGUAAUGUAUCGGAACGUGCCCAGUCGUGGGGGAUAACGUAGUGAAAAUUACGCUAAUACCGCAUACGAUCUAUGGAUAAAAGCGGGGGAUCGCAAGACCUCGCGCGAUUGGAGCGGCCGAUAUCAGAUUAGGUAGUUGGUGGGGUACAGGCCCACCAAGCCAACGAUCUGGAGCUGGUCUGAGAGGACGGCCAGCCACACUGGAACUGAGACACGGUCCAGACUCCUACGGGGGGCAGCAGUGGGGAAUUUUGGACAAUGGGCGAAAGCCUGAUCCAGCCAUUCCGCGUGCAGGAUGAAGGCCCUCGGGUUGUAAACUGCUUUUGUACAGAACGAAAAGGUUUCUACUAAUACUAGGAGCUCAUGACGGUACUGUAAGAAUAAGCACCGGCUAACUACGUGCCAGCCGCCGCAGUAA